rnacentral:rRNA from 1 species
UAUUAUUUUAGAAUGUUAAUUGUUUUGCCUGAGUAGUAUUAGUUAUGUUCUUGAAACUUAAAGAAUUUGGCGGUAUCUCAUUCCGUCCAGAGGAAUCUGUCUCGUUAUCGAUAGUCCACGUUGGACCUUACUUGGUUGCUUAGGUUUGUAUACCGCCGUUUAUUGAUUAUCUUUUUAGAGUUUUUAAUUUUCUGGUUUCCUUAUUUUGGUUUAUUUCAGGUCAAGGUGCAGCUUGUUUCCAAGUGAAUGAUGGAUUACAUUGUAAUUUGUUUUUGGAUUGUUGCUUUAAUUUGGGCAUGAAAUUGGAUUUGGUUGUAAUGAUUUGUAGAUUGUUAUUAUGAUAAUUGGUUCUGGGAUAUGCACACAUCGCCCGUCGCUCUCGUGUAUAAAU